UUAUUUACUUAAUUUAUUUUUUAUUUACUUUUUAUUAUAUUUCUCUCCCCCUUGUUUUAAAUUAAACGCAGGUUGUCCUUAUGGUUUUUAUUAUUUCAUUUUAUAAAAAGAGAAUUCGAGUCACUGUUUGUUCACCGGUUUAGCAAUGCGACUAUGCCAUUAAUAAGGGUGCCUAUAAACUGUGGCCAUUAUUGGUAUAUAUAAUUUUAUAUUAUUUACACUUGUUAUUUUUUCAACAUUUUUUUUAUUUUUUUUUCUAUUUCUUAUAAAAUUUUUUAACUACCCUCUUUUUUUUUUUUUUUUUUUUUUUAGGGUAUUAUGCGGGGUAAAUAUUGGAUAUUACUUAUUUCACCCUUUAUAUAAACCCCAUAAUUUAGGCUCAAAAUCAUAUAUAAUUUACGCACUCUUUGUUAUAUUAAUAGUAAUAUAUUUAAUUAUCUAUUUAUAUAUAUAUAUAUAUAUAUAUAUAUGUAUAGCACGUCGUGGUUAAAACAAAUUUCUUUAACUUAGUAUUUUAAUAUUUACAUGUUUUUGCACACGUAAAAAUGCUUAUUAUUAUUUAAUGUUUAAUUUUUAUACAGAUUUUAGAACUUUUAAAUUUAAAAUGUCAUUUGAUAUUAAGAAAUUUAAGACCCAGAGGUAAUAUAUAUAUNNNNNNNNNNUUUUUUUUUUAUUUAUUUAUUUAUUUACUUAAUUUAUUUUUUAUUUACUUUUUAUUAUAUUUCUCUCCCCCUUGUUUUAAAUUAAACGCAGGUUGUCCUUAUGGUUUUUAUUAUUUCAUUUUAUAAAAAGAGAAUUCGAGUCACUGUUUGUUCACCGGUUUAGCAAUGCGACUAUGCCAUUAAUAAGGGUGCCUAUAAACUGUGGCCAUUAUUGGGUAUUAUGCGGGGUAAAUAUUGGAUAUUACUUAUUUCACCCUUUAUAUAAACCCCAUAAUUUAGGCUCAAAAUCAUAUAUAAUUUACGCACUCUUUGUUAUAUUAAUAGUAAUAUAUUUAAUUAUCUAUUUAUAUAUAUAUAUAUAUAUAUAUAUAUGUAUAGCAC
rnacentral:lncRNA from 1 species